CAGCCGCCGCGGGAAUACGAAGGGGGCUAGCGUUGCUCGGAAUGACUGGGCGUAAAGGGCGCGUAGGCGGUUUUGACAGUCAGAUGUGAAAUUCCUGGGCUUAACCUGGGGGCUGCAUUUGAGACGUCAAGACUAGAGUGUGAGAGAGGGUUGUGGAAUUCCCAGUGUAGAGGUGAAAUUCGUAGAUAUUGGGAAGAACACCGGUGGCGAAGGCGGCAACCUGGCUCAUUACUGACGCUGAGGCGCGAAAGCGUGGGGAGCAAACAGGAUUAGAUACCCCGGUAGUCCCUGUCUCUUAUAC
rnacentral:rRNA from 1 species